AUUGAACGCUGGCGGCAGGCCUAACACAUGCAAGUCGAACGAGGGGCGGACGGGUGAAAAAUGUCUGGAACACUGCCUGAAGGGGGGGUAUAACUACUGGAAACGGUCGAUAAUACCGCAUACCAUCGGAUGUGCCCAGAUGGGAUUAGCGAGUAGGUGGGGUAAAGGCUCACCUAGGCGACGAUCCCUAGCUGGUCUGAGAGGAUGACCAGCCACACUGGAACUGAGACACGGUCCAGACUCCUACGGGAGGCAGCAGUGGGGAAUAUUGCACAAUGGGCGCAAGCCUGAUGCAGCCAUGCCGCGUGUAUGAAGAAGGCCUUCGGGUUGUAAAGUACUUUCAGCGGGGAGGCGUUACCCGCAGAAGAAGCACCGGCUAACUCCGUGCCAGCAGCCGCGGUAAUUC
rnacentral:rRNA from 1 species